UGCUGGAGAAGUCCAGAGCGAGCUUCCAGCUGCCUGAUGAAAGAGGCUACCACAUCUUCUACCAGAUGAUGCCCAACUACAAACCUGAACUUGUUGGUGAGCCACUGCAGAUCUUAAAGGAAUAAUAUGAUUGAGCAUUUGCUCCUUAGUCCUCUUACUCUCAUUGAGAGUGCAACAUUUCACCUUUUUACCUUUAACUAGCUUCAGGUGAUUAUCAUUUUAGUUUGGUGUCUCCACAGAAAUGGCACUCAUUACCACCACCCCAUGAUCAGCCAGGGUCAGAUCACUGUGGCCAGUAUUGAUGACACAGUUGAGCUUGAUGCCACAGAUGAUGCUAUUGAUAUCUUGGGCUUUAAUGCACUUCAAGCAGAAGUAGCGUCAGAAGAAGGCUGAGCCAGAUAGCCCAGAUGUGGUUGAUCAUUAUCUGCCCUCCUGUCAGUCCCUACUGCCCUCCAGUCUGCCAGAGCUGCUUCAAGGUCAUCCGUCAUCAUCCUGCUGGAGUUAUCUGCAGCAUUUGAUACGGUCAACCAUCAG